rnacentral:snRNA from 1 species
GGAUAUGAGGGCGAUCUGGCUGCGACAUCUGUCACCCCAUUGAUCGCCAGGGUUGAUUUGGCUGAUCUGGCUGGCUAGGCUGGUGUCCCCUUCCUCCCUCACCGCUCCAUGUGCGUCCCUCCCGAAGCUGCGCGCUCGGUCGAAGAGGACGACCUUCCCCAAUAGAGGAGGACCAGUCUUCGGUCAAGGGUAUACUUGACCGAAGACCACUCCCCUGCUAGAACCUCCAAAACAAGCUCUCAAGAAAGUUGCUCCUCUGUAAUUACUUUUGAGUCCCAAUGUAACAGAUAUGCAUACAUUUUUCCUUUUG